rnacentral:tRNA from 1 species
GGGGCAUUAGCUCAGUUGGCUAGAGCGUCUGCAUGGCAUGCAGAAGGCCAUCGGUUCGACUCCGAUAUGCUCCACCA